AUGCCAUCUUCUGGGAAUUGAGUAAAUUGGGUUCUGACGGAGAUGGGAAUUGAGGGUUUGGGAGAUUGGGUGAGAGUGGUUAGGAGUGCAGAGAGUAGCGAGUUUUGUGCGUAUGGAAUUGAGAUUGCGAAAUCUGAAUCCCAUAGCUGAGAAUUGGGGGAGAUCGUUCAAGAGUGGAUUGUUGGGUGUGUAUUUGAUUUGGGGUUUUAUGGGGUCUGGGAAAAGGGAGCUUGAGCUACAAGUAUGGAACUUUCAACUUCAAAUUUCAACUUCAAGGUGAACAACCCAGUGAGGUGGUGGUGCAGCAUGAAAGGAAUUUGCUUUUCAAGUUUUACACACAAGGGUGAUUCUUUUCGGCUUUAGUGUGGGCUGUGUAUGAUCUGAUCAGCCCAAAGUCUUACCGCCAACUUAGCUUUACCAAAUGCGAGAGAACAAGAAAGAAAAUGAAUUGCACAAAAAGGGAAAUAAAACUGUUGAAACAAAUAAAUCAAUCUUCGGGCUCCUCAUCUCCUAAAAUGAUUUGAACUCCGUAUCCUUAACAAAUUGGUAUACCGUAUCUCAACUCCUAAAAGGGUUUAGACUCUUUAUCCUUAGCAAAUUUGUAUACCCUAUCUAGCACAAGUUGUGUCCAUCUCUCUAUAUAUAUUCAAAACCAUCUAGGUUU
rnacentral:lncRNA from 1 species